AUUAGAUACCCUGGGUAGUCCACGCUGUAAACGAUCGAUACUAGGUGUCCGUGGACUGACCCCCUGCGUGCCGGAGUUAACACAAUAAGUAUCGCACCUGGGGAGUACGAUCGCAAGGUUGAAACUCAAAGGAAUUGACGGGGGCCCGCACAAGCGGUGGAUUAUGUGGUUUAAUUCGAUGCAACGCGAAGAACCUUACCAGGGCUUGACAUCCUGCUAACGAGGUAGAGAUACGUCAGGUGCCCUUCGGGGAAAGCAGAGACAGGUGGUGCAUGGUUGUCGUCAGCUCGUGUCGUGAGAUGUUGGGUUAAGUCCCGCAACGAGCGCAACCCUUAUUGUUAGUUGCUACGCAAGAGCACUCUAGCGAGACUGCCGUUGACAAAACGGAGGAAGGUGGGGACGACGUCAAAUCAUCAUGCCCCUUAUGUCCUGGGCUACACACGUAAUACAAUGGCGGUCAACAGAGGGAUGCAAAACCGCGAGGUGGAGCGAACCCCUAAAAGCCGUCCCAGUUCGGAUCGCAGGCUGCAACCCGCCUGCGUGAAGUCGGAAUCGCUAGUAAUCGCGGAUCAGCAUGCCGCGGUGAAUACGUUCCCGGGCCUUGUACACACCGCCCGUCACACCAUGAGAGUCGGGAACACCCGAAGUCCGUAGCCUAACCGCAAGGAGGGCGCGGCCGAAGGUGGGUUCGAUAAUUGGGGUGAAGUCGUAACAAGGUACC
rnacentral:rRNA from 1 species